GGGCGCAUGGUCUAGAGGUAUGAUUCUUCUUUAGGGCUUGGAUAUUUCCAGACCAUAGAAGAGGUCCUGGGUUCGAUUCCCAGUGCGCCCC
rnacentral:tRNA from 1 species